rnacentral:rRNA from 1 species
AUUGAACGCUGGCGGCAGGCUUAACACAUGCAAGUCGAGCGGGGGAAGGUAGCUUGCUACUGGACCUAGCGGCGGACGGGUGAGUAAUGCUUAGGAAUCUGCCUAUUAGUGGGGGACAACAUCUCGAAAGGGAUGCUAAUACCGCAUACGUCCUACGGGAGAAAGCAGGGGAUCUUCGGACCUUGCGCUAAUAGAUGAGCCUAAGUCGGAUUAGCUAGUUGGUGGGGUAAAGGCCUACCAAGGCGACGAUCUGUAGCGGGUCUGAGAGGAUGAUCCGCCACGCUGGGACUGAGACACGGCCCGGACUCCUACGGGAGGCAGCAGUGGGGAAUAUUGGACAAUGGGGGGAACCCUGAUCCAGCCAUGCCGCGUGUGUGAAGAAGGCCUUAUGGUUGUAAAGCACUUUAAGCGAGGAGGAGGCUACUUUAGUUAAUACCUAGAGAUAGUGGACGUUACUCGCAGAAUAAGCACCGGCUAACUCUGUGCCAGCCGCCGCCGUAA